rnacentral:lncRNA from 1 species
ACACAUGCAUCACAGGGUGUAUCUAGGAACAUAAACGCGGGAGGAGACGGAGCAACGACACCGUCGGCCGGGGCGGUGACGCGACGGGAGGGCAGGGGUACGAGAUCAGUCGUCGCGCUUCUUGAGCUUGUCGACGCGCUGCUGGAGGUGGUCGAGCUUGACGACGAGGGAGGUGACGGAGAAGAGGAUCCAGUAGAGGAGCAGCGCGGCGGCGAUGAGGAGGGCGUUGCGCUGGGACUUCAUGAUGGACUUCUGGUGGCGGAGGUGCUCGGAGGGGGUGCAGGCGUGCUCGUCGUCGCAGGUGGGCCGCAUCUCGUACUUCCAGUAGAUGUCCAUGAGCAGGAAGAGGCAGAAGGGCACCACCGACAUCAUGGGCUUGAGCGCGCUCCGCACGACGGAGAUCAUCCCGCGCCGGAGCGCGUCCAGACCCGGCAGCGUCAGCAGCAGCAGCAUGAUGGCCUCCGCGCCCGCCGCGUACCCCAGCACCACCCACUCCAGCGCCAUCGCGCGGCCGGACCUCUCGCCUUCCGAUUCGCCGGAGAUCGCUUUGCUUGGGGG